UUGCUCACUUCUGUAGCACGUGUACUAAAAUUGGACAAUGGAGAUAUUAGCAUGGCCCCUGCACAAGGAUGACACGCAAAUUUGUUAUGUGUUCCAUAUUUUU